rnacentral:misc_RNA from 1 species
AACAUCGCGCACCUGCGGGAACCUGCGGAGGGAUCAUUAUAGAGUUGCAAAACUCCCUAAACCAUUGUGAACGUUACCUAAACCGUUGCUUCGGCGGGCGGCCCGGGUCCUUCCCGGCGCCCCUCGGCCCUCGCGGGCGCCCGCCGGAGGUAAACCAAACUAUUGCAUUGUAUGGCCUCUCUGAGUCUUCUGUACUGAAUAAGUCAAAACUUUUAACAACGGAUCUCAGAUCGGAAGAGC